GGGAAGUUAAUUAUAUUGAGAAAUCUCAGUUGAACUGCCUUUGUACAACUAAAGACUUGUUUUGGGGUUGAGGAAGGAAGUGAGAGAAAGACUGACAGACAGACGCGGUUUUAUACUUUGCAUACCAGCAAAUGCGGUUAAAACCAUUCAGAAUGUGGAAAGCAAGAGUCUUUUGUUUCUUCAUCUGUACAGCUAACAAGAUCACUGACGUUUCAACAAUCAGCUCAUUUUCAGUCAGGAGUGAAUCAGAAAUGAAUCCGUCCAGCAGAAUCACAGACCAUCAGAUCUCCUCAACAGGAGCGACUCACCGUGAAUCAUGAGCAGAAACACCAGAGGAAGAGGAGGAGCCAUCAUCAGUGACAUCGCUACAAGAACAAUAAUACAGUAUAACACACACUAUCAUCAUUAUAAAAACUUUAAAAACAUUC